rnacentral:rRNA from 1 species
AUGGGGACGCUCGUCUGGCUGAGGCCGACCGCGGCCCCGGCCGUCCCCGCCGGUCCCUCCGCCGCGCACGUGGUGGCUGCCGGUGGUGUAAAUGCCCGGCCUCGGCGGGUGUCCGUGGCGUCCCGCUGCACGAACCCGCGGGUGCUCCAGGCGGGGAGGUGCCGGUGGCUGGUUGUCAGGUCGGGUGUCACGGCCGCUGCAGCCGCCGCAGAUGACCCCGAGGAUUCGUCGGAGCUAUCAGAUCUGCAAGUGGCUUCGAGGAUCAGAGGGGUCUUCUUCUACGCGGUGACUGCUGUUGCGGCGAUCUUUUUGUUUAUAGCUAUGGUUGUGGUUCAUCCACUUGUGCUCUUGUUUGACCGCCACCGUAGGAGAGCUCAGCACUAUAUUGCAAAGAUUUGGGCUACUCUGGCAGUUUCCAUGUUCUACAAGCUUGAAGUUGAGGGAAUGGAGAAUCUACCUCCCAAUAGUAGCCCUGCUGUCUAUGUUGCUAACCAUCAGAGCUUCUUGGAUAUCUAUACCCUUCUAACUCUAGGAAGGUGCUUCAAAUUUAUAAGCAAGACCAGUAUCUUUAUGCUUCCAGUUAUUGGUUGGGCAAUGUAUCUCUUGGGUGUCAUUCCUUUACGGCGUAUGGACAGCAGGAGCCAGCUGGACUGUCUUAAACGGUGUGUGGAUUUGGUGAAAAGGGGGGCGUCUGUAUUUUUCUUUCCAGAGGGAACUCGAAGUAAAGAUGGAAAGCUAGGUAUAUUCAAGCGAGGAGCAUUUAGUGUCGCAGCGAAGACUGGCGUUCCUGUCAUACCUAUUACCCUUCUCGGGACAGGGAAAUUGAUGCCUCCUGGAAUGGAAAGCAACCUUAAUUCAGGUUCAGUACAAGUCAUUAUUCACCGUCCAAUUGAAGGGAAUGAUGCAGAGAAAUUAUGUACCGACGCAAGGAAUGUGAUAGCAGACACUCUUCUUCUACAUGGUUAUGGAGUGCACUAA